GCCCCCCUUAGAGGCGUUGCAGAUGUGGCUGCCGUGUCACGUUUGUGUCAUUAGGGGCGGAGAGAAGAGAGGCUUGUCCACGCCCAGUGCUCUGGCCCGUGGGCGACUGGAUAGUGGAUAGUCUGACACU